UCUUCUGACACGGCUGAGAGCUCUGCAGAGCGUUAUCUGUCCUGUCUUCCCGAAGAAUGAGUUCCAGCUAGACAAUGCGGUGAAGCAGGAGGAACAAAGCCAGAGAGACUACAGAAGUCCAGACAGCUACAAUGCUGUGGAAUAUUGCUUUAACUAUGUGAAGCACAACAUGCCAAUGAUGGCAGCCGGCUCGAGGAGCAGCUCCGGGUGAACGGAAGGAAGUAGAUGCAGCCUCUACUCAGGUCAGCAGUUGUUAAACUGUUUUCUCUCUUUCCUCAGCCCAGAAGGCCAAACUAAAGAGGUCUCUCUACUUUACAAGUCAAAAUGAUUCGUAGUCCCUUUAAAUAUCUUCAUUUUUAUGUUUUGUUUUUAGGAACAGAAUAAAGUUUCAAUAAAUGCCUA